UACAGAGGGUGCGAGCGUUAAUCGGAAUUACUGGGCGUAAAGCGCGCGUAGGCGGCUUUGUAAGUCUGUCGUGAAAUCCCCGGGCUUAACCUGGGAAUUGCGAUGGAGACUGCAAGGCUAGAAUCUGGCAGAGGGGGGUAGAAUUCCACGUGUAGCAGUGAAAUGCGUAGAGAUGUGGAGGAACACCGAUGGCGAAGGCAGCCCCCUGGGUCAAGAUUGACGCUCAUGCACGAAAGCGUGGGGAGCAAACAGG
rnacentral:rRNA from 1 species